CUACGGGUUGCAGCAGUGGGGGAUAUUGCACAAUGGAGGGAACUCUGAUGCAGCGAUGCUGCGUGGAGGAAGAAGGUUUUCGGAUUGUAAACUCCUGUCUUUGGGGACGAUAAUGACGGUACCCAAGGAGGAAGCUCCGGCUAACUACGUGCCAGCAGCCGCGGUAAUACGUAGGGAGCGAGCGUUGUCCGGAAUUACUGGGUGUAAAGGGAGUGUAGGCGGGACUGCAAGUCAGAUGUGAAAAUUAUGAGCUCAACUUAUAACCUGCAUUUGAAACUGUGGUGCUUGAGUGAAGUAGAGGUAAGCGGAAUUCCUAGUGUAGCGGUGACAUGCGUAGAUAUUAGGAGGAACAUCAGUGGCGAAGGCGGCUUACUGGGCUUUUACUGACGCUGAGGCUCGAAAGCGUGGGGAGCAAACAGGAUUAGAUACCCGCGUAGUC
rnacentral:rRNA from 1 species